rfam:Erinaceus europaeus unplaced genomic scaffold scaffold00598, whole genome shotgun sequence
CAACUUGGUGGCCGAAAAAGAGUUAAUAUAUAAAGCAUAUGGGGUCUCCAACUGCAUGCAAGAAUAACCUGGAGAGACUUUGACAGCACAGGUCAACAUAAUUCCUGUAGCUGCCACUCAACUUUCCUAUAUUU